AGCGAUUUAUAAGAAAUACCAACAAGGUUUCUACGCAAAUUUGAUUAAAGGGACGAGAUUUAAUGGUAGAGAAUCCCGUCGUCUCGAAUCAAAGUUGCCGACCAUCGACGUGGCAAAAUGCAUCGGUUCGAUUGGUAGAGGUUACCUGGACGGAUUUAACCGUGGCGGUAAAGUCGAAUCGGUGUAGAAUCGGCGCGGUAGCGGUUUUAGCGCCGCGGUAUGACGUCAAAACCGCGUUGCUUUCGUCACGGCGUAUUUUCCGUCGCGGUUCCGCACUAGUGGGAACCAACCUUUAGAGUCAAAUAUUUUUGCUGAGUAUUGUUAUUUU
rnacentral:lncRNA from 1 species